AUUAAAGAUUUAGCUUGUU
rnacentral:miRNA from 1 species